rnacentral:rRNA from 1 species
AGAGUUUGAUCCUGGCUCAGGAUGAACGCUAGCUACAGGCUUAACACAUGCAAGUCGAGGGGCAUCAGGAAGAAAGCUUGCUUUCUUUGCUGGCGACCGGCGCACGGGUGAGUAACACGUAUCCAACCUGCCCUUUACUCGGGGAUAGCCUUUCGAAAGAAAGAUUAAUACCCGAUAGCAUAAUGAUUCCGCAUGGUUUCAUUAUUAAAGGAUUCCGGUAAAGGAUGGGGAUGCGUUCCAUUAGGUUGUUGGUGAGGUAACGGCUCACCAAGCCUUCGAUGGAUAGGGGUUCUGAGAGGAAGGUCCCCCACAUUGGAACUGAGACACGGUCCAAACUCCUACGGGAGGCAGCAGUGAGGAAUAUUGGUCAAUGGGCGCUAGCCUGAACCAGCCAAGUAGCGUGAAGGAUGAAGGCUCUAUGGGUCGUAAACUUCUUUUAUAUAAGAAUAAAGUGCAGUAUGUAUACUGUUUUGUAUGUAUUAUAUGAAUAAGGAUCGGCUAACUCCGUGCCAGCAGCCGCGGUAAUACGGAGGAUCCGAGCGUUAUCCGGAUUUAUUGGGUUUAAAGGGAGCGUAGGUGGACUGGUAAGUCAGUUGUGAAAGUUUGCGGCUCAACCGUAAAAUUGCAGUUGAUACUGUCAGUCUUGAGUACAGUAGAGGUGGGCGGAAUUCGUGGUGUAGCGGUGAAAUGCUUAGAUAUCACGAAGAACUCCGAUUGCGAAGGCAGCUCACUGGACUGCAACUGACACUGAUGCUCGAAAGUGUGGGUAUCAAACAGGAUUAGAUACCCUGGUAGUCCACACAGUAAACGAUGAAUACUCGCUGUUUGCGAUAUACAGUAAGCGGCCAAGCGAAAGCAUUAAGUAUUCCACCUGGGGAGUACGCCGGCAACGGUGAAACUCAAAGGAAUUGACGGGGGCCCGCACAAGCGGAGGAACAUGUGGUUUAAUUCGAUGAUACGCGAGGAACCUUACCCGGGCUUAAAUUGCAGUGGAAUGAUGUGGAAACAUGUCAGUGAGCA